rnacentral:rRNA from 1 species
CCUAACACAUGCAAGUCGAACGGUAACAGGAAGCAGCUUGCUGCUUCGCUGACGAGUGGCGGACGGGUGAGUAAUGUCUGGGAAGCUGCCUGAUGGAGGGGGAUAACUACUGGAAACGGUAGCUAAUACCGCAUAAUGUCGCAAGACCAAAGAGGGGGACCUUCGGGCCUCUUGCCAUCGGAUGUGCCCAGAUGGGAUUAGCUUGUUGGUGGGGUAACGGCUCACCAAGGCGACGAUCCCUAGCUGGUCUGAGAGGAUGACCAGCCACACUGGAACUGAGACACGGUCCAGACUCCUACGGGAGGCAGCAGUGGGGAAUAUUGCACAAUGGGCGCAAGCCUGAUGCAGCCAUGCCGCGUGUAUGAAGAAGGCCUUCGGGUUGUAAAGUACUUUCAGCGGGGAGGAAGGGAGUAAAGUUAAUACCUUUGCUCAUUGACGUUACCCGCAGAAGAAGCACCGGCUAACUCCGUGCCAGCAGCCGCGGUAAUACGGAGGGUGCAAGCGUUAAUCGGAAUUACUGGGCGUAAAGCGCACGCAGGCGGUUUGUUAAGUCAGAUGUGAAAUCCCCGGGCUCAACCUGGGAACUGCAUCUGAUACUGGCAAGCUUGAGUCUCGUAGAGGGGGGUAGAAUUCCAGGUGUAGCGGUGAAAUGCGUAGAGAUCUGGAGGAAUACCGGUGGCGAACGCGGCCCCCUGGACGAAGACUGACGCUCAGGUGCGA